CCUGAUCCUGCCAUGCCGCGUGUGUGAAGAAGGCCUUUUGGUUGUAAAGCACUUUAAGCAGUGAAGAAGACUCUUCGGUUAAUACCCGGAGACGAUGACAUUAGCUGCAGAAUAAGCACCGGCUAACUCUGUGCCAGCAGCCGCGGUAAUACAGAGGGUGCAAGCGUUAAUCGGAAUUACUGGGCGUAAAGCGAGCGUAGGUGGCUUGAUAAGUCAGAUGUGAAAUCCCCGGGCUUAACCUGGGAACUGCAUCUGAAACUGUUAGGCUAGAGUAGGUGAGAGGGAAGUAGAAUUUCAGGUGUAGCGGUGAAAUGCGUAGAGAUCUGAAGGAAUACCGAUGGCGAAGGCAGCUUCCUGGCAUCAUACUGACACUGAGGCUCGAAAGCGUGGGUAGCAAACAGGAUUAGAUACCCUGGUAGUCCACGCCGUAAACGAUGUCUACUAGUCGUUGGGUCCCUUGAGGACUUAGUGACGCAGCUAACGCAAUAAGUAGACCGCCUGGGGAGUACGGCCGCAAGGUUAAAACUCAAAUGAAUUGACGGGGG
rnacentral:rRNA from 1 species